rnacentral:tmRNA from 1 species
GGGGCUGACUUGGAUUUCGACAGAUUUCUUGUCGCACAGAUAGCAUGCCAAGCGCUGCUUGUAAAACAGCAACAAAAAUAACUGUAAACAACGCAGAUUACGCUCCAGCUUACGCUAAAGUUGCGUGAGUUAAUCUCCUUUUGGAGCUGGACUGAUUAGAAUUUCUAGCGUUUUAAUCACUCCAUAACCUUAAGCUAGACGCUUUUAAAAGGUGGUUCGCCUUUUAAACUAAGAAACAAGAACUCUUGAAACUAUCUCAAGGUUUUAGAAAGUUGGACCAGAGCUAGUUUUAAGGCUAAAAACUAACCAAUUUUCUAAGCAUUGUAGAAGUUUGUGUUUAGGGCAAGAUUUUUGGACUGGGGUUCGAUUCCCCACAGCUCCACCA